CUCGUCUCUUAUCUCGUGGGAUAAGUGUCUCGUCAAACCCCAUUGACAAUUUAUUGAAAUAAAAUAAGUUUAAAUUGAAGUACUAGAAUUAUUAAAACUAAAUCAGAAAUCAAGUAAAAUAGAAAGAUAAAAAAAAAGAAAAUAAUAAAAUUACCAAAACUUAAACUAAAAUUAAAUUGAUAACUGAAAAUAUAAUAGCCAAGUCAAAAUGUAUAAAUACUAUAAUAGCAUAUAAAUAUCACUAAAAUAACAAACAUAAUCAGAUUAAACAUUACCAAGAGGAAGCUCCAUGCUAAAACAGGAAAGCACUGGCAGGGUGACUGUGUAACAAGAAAAAACUAUCACAAGAAGUGUUAAGAGGAACACAGCAUAGAAACAGACCAGCUGUUGUGUUGUGGGACCCCUUCAUCCACCCCCCUCACCAAUUUUUGUCACUGUAUCCUUUUGCUAGUUCUCAGCUAAAUAUAAAGGUUACUAAAAUUAGACCUCCUAACCUCGCCCUCAAUGUUUUGAUCAACAAGCCACCACACAUUACAUGUCUGGCCAUCCCAGGCAAGUUACGCAACGGGCCACCCCAACGACAGCUCAAGAUGAAAGGCUUAUUGGAUUCCCUGAAGCUCAGGAGGAACUUUCCAAUAGCAAAGGCUUAUAUAGGGCAGAGUGGCUGGGGUCAAGACCCAGCCUGAACCCGAGCAGAGACAGCUGGCCAGGGAAAUACGACAGCAGGAACCGGAGGUGAGACGAAGGGCACGACAACGGCAUGCUGGGGGCAAUCAUCACAUCAUGGGAUACAAUUGUAAAUAAAUAAAUUAAUAAAUAAAUAAUAAAUACUAAAAGAAGCACUUAUAUAGUAAUAUACUCUUUUACAUUUAUUAUACAGGUCAAUAUCAACAUAGAGUGCCUUUCAACCCUCACAACAGUCAAAAAUUUUGGUUUUUAUUUCCCAUUCCCUUUAUAUGAUGUCAUAAAUAAUAGACACUCAAGUACUAUAGAAACACAUUAGCUGAGCUCCCACACAUUUUUUUAGAUAAUUAUGGGCCAUUAUUCAAAGCAUAAACCAUAAGACAUAUAUGUAUUACUGUUAAAUGCAUGUUCAUUGCAAAAUGAAGAUGCAAAUUAUAUUUUCUGAACGCAAUCAUGUCCCAUUCCAAAACAGGGUUAUUUGUUUGUUUUCAGAUCGUAAACACAUAAAAGACUGUGUUGUAAACCAUGAGUUUUUAAAUAAACUUAUACAAUUCACACAUGUAUUUUUUCUUAUUUAGAGAAAACUGUUAUACUGUAUUUGGAUGCAGUUUUUUGUUUGCAUGUUAUCUCCCCCACACCUAGCUAUUGAACACACUGGAUUAUACAAGAUAUGAUUGAAUUAUUAUUUAAAAUAUUAUCGCAAAAUAUCAAGAUGACAGGGUGGACCAGCACAUGCCGGGGUGGACACACAAUGCAGAACACACAAAUCAUGACAAAAUAUGACAGUGAAACAUUUAUUCAACUUCUAAAAAAAAAACAAUUAUAUAAUAAUAAUAAAUAAUAUAAUUACAUCCUCAAUCACAUUGAUAUACCCCACCUCCCCUAUUAAUUUUAGUUUUUAACAGCAUUAACUACAAAUGAAUGCUAUGUCCACCCUGUCAUGUGGAGUCUAAGUGGCCAACAGGAUGGACAUUUUAAGCUUCAAUUAGCAUAUUAGCUUACAAAAUCUGUGACUAGCUGAAUAGUUAGUCUGGUUGUUGGAGAGAAUUUGGUAUAUUUAAACUUGCAUAUUUUGAAAAUACUGUAUUCUAUCACUUCUGGCAUAUUUUAUGCCGACAGGGUAGACAUGUUAAGCUUUGGCAAAGCAAGUAAGCAAACUCAGACGAAGAAAAUUUGUCAGUUGAAAAGUCAAUUUGUCUGUCAUCACUCAAAAAUGUUGAUUGAAGUCUUGUGUGCCAUUUAUUAACAUGUUUCAGCUUCUUACAGUGUAUUGUUGUAUGGGAUACAUUAUUCUACCUUGUUCAUUAAGUCUAGAACAAAGUGGAAAAUAGUGAUCAUUUUCUCUGAACCCUUUCAAUCCUAUAUCUAAAUAUAAGAGGACAUUAUAGCAAAGCAUGUUUUUGGCAUCAGCUUAUUUGGCUGUAAAGCUGCUUGUGUAAUACAAAACAAAACAAUAAAACUGGCAUAUUGGGGAAAAAGCUGGCAAUUUUCUGUAUCUGUGUAUUAUUAAGACUGCACAGUAAUCACAACUAGGGAUGCUCCGAUCAAGACUUUUGCAGCUGAUACAGAGUACUGAUUUUUUUGUCAUGGUGAUCGAUGCUUCAAGCUUUAUAUAACAUAUGUAAUAAUGUUAUAUAAAUAAUCACAAAAAUUAUUUCUUACACAGUGAACAUUUUAAUAUGCCUUUAAAACGGGGUUUAUGCAUAACAUUGUGUAUAUUAGGAUAUUUAAUAUAAGAAAGGCGGGACAUUCUCAGGAGUUCUCAGCACUGUCAAAAUAAAAGUCCCGCCUUGAACACAGACAGGAAAACUUAUCGGCCGAUGCCGAUAUUUGAAAACUGGCAAAUAUCGACGGAUAUAUCAGCCUUGCCGAUAUAUCAGUCGACCACUAGUUACCAUUACCCCUUAUGGCUCCGACGAGGUAUUGAUCCGUCCUCCACGCUAUGCCAACUCACAAAAGAC
rnacentral:lncRNA from 12 species